UACGGAGGAUGCAAGCGUUAUCCGGAAUGAUUGGGCGUAAAGCGUCUGUAGGUGGAUUGUAAAGUCCUCUGUUAAAGAUCGGGGCUUAACCCAGUUCAAGCAGUGGAAACUUAUAAUCUAGAGUACGGUGGGGCGAGAGGAAUUCCCGGUGUAGCGGUGAAAUGCGUAGAUAUCGGGAAGAACACCGACAGCGAAAGCACUCUGCUGGGCCGAAACUGACACUAAGAGACGAAAGCUAGGGGAGCAAAAA
rnacentral:rRNA from 1 species